rnacentral:rRNA from 1 species
UACGUAGGCUGCGAGCGUUGUUCGGAAUUACUGGGCGUAAAGAGUGUGUAGGCGGUGUUCCCAGUCUGUUGUGAAAUCUCCCGGCUUAACUGGGAGGGUGCAGCGGAAACUAGAAUGCUAGAGGGUGGGAGAGGUAAGCGGAAUUCCUGGUGUAGCGGUGAAAUGCGUAGAUAUCAGGAGGAACACCUGUGGUGUAGACAGCUUACUGGACCACUUCUGACGCUGAGACACGAAAGCGUGGGUAGCAAACAGG